rnacentral:lncRNA from 1 species
CUUCAAUACAUAAAUUUUAGGGGGGCAGUGCAUGCAUUAGCCCAUAAGAGGGCUUCUGGAGAAAUUUCUCUGGAAUUCAGAUAAAUUAUUUACUCACUCAACAUUUAUGUGUAAUCUCCUACUAUGCACCAGGCAUUUUCCUAAUGGAGAAAGGAAAGAGAAGAAAAGAGAAAGGGGUUUACCAGGGAAAAUCCAUAAUCCCAGCACUAAUACAGACUUAGCAAAAUCUGCCAAUAAAUCUUUAAAGGAAAAUGUGCUGGCAAUGAACUAAGAAAAGGCCAGGUCCUGAUGGCUUCACUGCUGAACUCUACAAGAUAUUUAGAGAGGAAUUACUGCCAAACUCUUCAAUGAAAUUGAAAGGGAAAGCACAGAAAGACCCAACUGAAAAAGAGAACUAUAGGCCAAUCUCACUAAUGAGCA